GACGAACGCUGGCGGCAUGCCUAAUACAUGCAAGUCGAGCGAACAGAUGAAGUGCUUGCACUUCUGACGUUAGCGGCGAACGGGUGAGUAACACGUAAGGAAUCUACCUAUAAGCGGGGGAUAACAUUCGGAAACGGGUGCUAAUACCGCAUAAUAUCUUCUUCCGCAUGGAAGAAGAUUGAAAGACGGCUCUGCUGUCACUUAUAGAUGACCUUGCGGUGCAUUAGUUAGUUGGUGGGGUAACGGCCUACCAAGACGAUGAUGCAUAGCCGACCUGGGAGGGUGAUCGGCCACAUUGGGACUGGGACACGGCCCAAACUCCUACGGGAGGCAGAAGUAGGGAAUCUCCCGCAAUGGGCGAAAGCCUGACGGAGCAAUGCCGCGUGAGUGAAGAAGGCCUUCGGGUCGUAAAACUCUGUUAUAAGAGAAGAACAAAUUGUAGAGUAACUGCUACAGUCUUGACGGUACCUUAUCAGAAAGCCACGGCUAACUACGUGCCAGCCGCCGCCGUAA
rnacentral:rRNA from 1 species